CCACCCCUUCCAACAGACACUCACUGGGAAGUGCGACCGGCCCGGCGCACCUGCGUGCGAGCAAGAGCCGUCUUAGGCCUCGGCACGAUCGUUGGCAGCUCCAUGUUGGCUGCUCUGAGCCAGAUUUUCGAGAAGACAGGACAGGUGACGUUGCAGAGACGCCUGCCCAACGCCAGCAGAUGCACCUGCUGCUCAGUGGUUGAGGUUCUUGAGCUCGGCUUUGGAUCUUUCUUAGGAAUUAUUGGCAUCAACUUGGUGGAGAAUAGAAGGCAAAUGCUGGUGGCAGCGAUUGUGUUUAUCAGUUUUGGCGUGGUGGCCGCCUUCUGCUGUGCCAUCGUGGACGGCGUAUUUGCAGCACAGCACAUUGAACCGAGGCCCCUCACCACGGGAAGAUGCCAGUUUUACUCCAGUGGGGUGGGGUACUUGUACGACGUCUACCAGACAGAGGUGAGUGAGAUGCGGGGAGUAAUGACCCGCGGGCGGCCGC
rnacentral:sRNA from 1 species